rnacentral:piRNA from 1 species
AGGAAGCAGAACGUAUUUUUAAUAAGAGA